GGAUCCAGACUUUGAUCCUGGCUCAGGAUGAACGCUAGCUACAGGCUUAACACAUGCAAGUCGAGGGGAAACGACAUCGAAAGCUUGCUUUUGAUGGGCGUCGACCGGCGCACGGGUGAGUAACGCGUAUCCAACCUGCCCACCACUUGGGGAUAACCUUGCGAAAGUAAGACUAAUACCCAAUGAUAUCUCUAGAAGACAUCUGAAAGAGAUUAAAGAUUUAUCGGUGAUGGAUGGGGAUGCGUCUGAUUAGCUUGUUGGCGGGGUAACGGCCCACCAAGGCUACGAUCAGUAGGGGUUCUGAGAGGAAGGUCCCCCACAUUGGAACUGAGACACGGUCCAAACUCCUACGGGAGGCAGCAGUGAGGAAUAUUGGUCAAUGGACGAGAGUCUGAACCAGCCAAGUAGCGUGCAGGAUGACGGCCCUAUGGGUUGUAAACUGCUUUUAUAAGGGAAUAAAGUGAGUCUCGUGAGACUUUUUGCAUGUACCUUAUGAAUAAGGACCGGCUAAUUCCGUGCCAGCAGCCGCGGUAAUACGGAAGGUCCGGGCGUUAUCCGGAUUUAUUGGGUUUAAAGGGAGCGUAGGCCGGAGAUUAAGCGUGUUGUGAAAUGUAGAUGCUCAACAUCUGCACUGCAGCGCGAACUGGUUUCCUUGAGUACGCACAAAGUGGGCGGAAUUCGUGGUGUAGCGGUGAAAUGCUUAGAUAUCACGAAGAACUCCGAUUGCGAAGGCAGCUCACUGGAGCGCAACUGACGCUGAAGCUCGAAAGUGCGGGUAUCGAACAGGAUUAGAUACCCUGGUAGUCCGCACGGUAAACGAUGGAUGCCCGCUGUUGGUCUGAAUAGGUCAGCGGCCAGGCGAAAGCAUUAAGCAUCCCACCUGGGGAGUACGCCGGCAACGGUGCAACUCAAAUGAAUUGACGG
rnacentral:rRNA from 1 species